UACGGAGGGUGCAAACGUUGCUCGGAAUCAUUGGGCGUAAAGCGCACGUAGGCGGUCCAGCAAGUCGGGUGUGAAAGCCCUCGGCUUAACCGAGGAAGUGCAUUCGAAACUACUGGGCUUGAGUACUGAAGAGGAUCGCGGAAUUCCCGGUGUAGAGGUGAAAUUCGUAGAUAUCGGGAGGAACACCAGUGGCGAAGGCGAGACUCUGGACAGUUCCUGACGCUGAGGCACGAAGGCCAGGGGAGCAAACGGG
rnacentral:rRNA from 1 species